GACGACGUUGGCUUCGCUGCGACGGUGCUGACCUCUUCGAGCGGAUCGACGCGCGCCGAUUGGACGCCUGCUCUCCGCUAAUUGGCGUGUACGGUUGUGCGGUGGAACAAGAAUCUCUCUAGGGACCUUUGAUAAUCAGAGGUAUUAGCUAGAGGAUUUUAGAAUCCGUGUGUAAAGGAUGGCUUGUGGGGAAGCGGCGUAGUAUUAUCGAAGCGGAUAAUGAGCUCUGAAGAAUAUGUGGAAAGAAUCCGUGACCAGUCUUGGGUUUCAAACAGUAUUCGAGAUUGAAGAGUAACGGAUCAAUUCCGGCAAUUCAUAUUUCCGGUUGUGAUGAAGCGAUAGGAUGAAGAAAGAAGAUGGGAUUCGUCUUCGUCGAUGAUAUUUGAUUUCCAUGUUUCACAAAAAAUAUCCUCUUUAAAGGUACCAAGACAUUUCAACAACGAUUCCUCGGAAAUAUUAAUUUAUACGUAAUCGAUGAAACGUUCCUCCAUCUUCAAUCGUUCGAUACUUUUUUUCCAAAUGUUGUUAAUUAAAUGAAAUCAAAGAUCGAUAAAACGUAGGCAAAAGAAAUACGUGAAUUAAAGUUCAAGAUUGUGGACGUAAAUCGGUGAAAAUUACUUCGAACGAUUACUACCAUCGCUUAUUAUAGCUGACGUAAUUCAUGGGCUAUGUUUCACUCGCGACAACAACAACAAUAACAACAACAACACGAGUUAGAAGCCUCCACACGCUCUAUUACCAGCAUGUUUAUAAUCUUUUAUUACCAUUGGAUGAUCGGUUCUCGGUCGAGCUUAGAUGCUAAUUUGUUUAAAUUUGCAUCUUUAUCAUCGUGAACAUAAUAAACUGAAGAAAUAUUGAACUUGAUUAGAUUGUUAAAGAAGAUUCGAGAAGGAACAUUUAUUGCGCGAAAGGAACUGUACAGUGAUCUAAAUCAAUCGAAGCCGGCUAAUCCUUAUUUUCUAAAUCUGUGAAACAGCGGAGAAUUCCAUUGAAAUCUCUUCGACCAUCAUCGAUCAAGCGUAAUUGGGGAAAAAACGAAGCGGAGAACGUUGGAGGAAGCAAGGGAUCGAUUAGUCUGUGAUUGAGUUACAGGAAGGCAGUCGUUUAUUGGCAUAAUCGAUACCUUACUGGGUUUAAUAAAUACAUCCUUGGGAAACCUCGAGCUCGGUAUAUUCUCUCGACAAGGUUCUUUUUUUUUUCUUUCUUUCUCUUUCGCGAAAUCCGUGAUUCGAAGAGGAAAAAUCAUGUUAACACCAACGUUUGAUUAUCCUCAUUUCGAGGCAUAAUCGACGUUCAAAGGUUGUCAUCUGGUUAAACAUGGUCUCGACAACAUUUACGUAUUUUGUACGAUAUUAGCAUCGAUAUUUAAAAAUAACGAAAGAAGAAGAGACUUAAAAAUUAUGAGAAGGAAUAAGUUGUAUAUAUCG